rnacentral:rRNA from 1 species
UAAGGAAUAUUGGUCAAUGGACGCAAGUCUGAACCAGCCAUGCCGCGUGAAGGAUGAAGGUCCUCUGGAUUGUAAACUUCUUUUAUCUGGGACGAAACACUCCUUUUCUAAGGGGCCUGACGGUACCAGAGGAAUAAGCACCGGCUAACUCCGUGCCAGCAGCCGCGGUAAUACGGAGGGUGCAAGCGUUAUCCGGAUUCACUGGGUUUAAAGGGUGCGUAGGUGGGUAUGUAAGUCAGAGGUGAAAUCCCCGAGCUUAACUUGGGAACUGCCUUUGAUACUAUAUGUCUUGAAUGUCGUAGAGGUUAGCGGAAUAUGUCAUGUAGCGGUGAAAUGCUUAGAUAUGACAUAGAACACCAAUUGCGAAGGCAGCUAGCUAUGCGAUUAUUGACGCUGAGGCACGAAAGCGUGGGUAGCAAACAGG